ACACCGGCAGCUCAAGUGGCAGCCGCUUUUAUUGGGCCUAAAGCGUCCGUAGCCGGUCUGAUAAGUCUCUGGUGAAAUCCCGCAGCUUAACUGGGGGAAUUGAUGGAGAUACUAUCAUGACUCGAGGCCGGGAGAGGCUGGUGGUAACCCCAGGGUAAGGGAGACAUCCUGGAAUCCUGGGAGGACCACCUGUGGCGAAGGCGUCCAGCGGGAACGACCCUGACGGUGAGGGACGAAAGCCAGGGGCGCGAACCGGAUUAGAUACCCGGGUAGUCCUGGCCGUAAACGAUGUGGACUUGGUGUUGGGAUGGCUUCGAGCUGCCCCAGUGCCGAAGGGAAGCUGUUAAGUCCACCGCCUGGGAAGUACGGCCGCAAGGCUGAAACUCAAAGGAAUUGGCGGGG
rnacentral:rRNA from 1 species